GCAAGUUUACAGUAAUUGCUUUAAUGAGGCAAAGCCCUUUAGAAUGCAAACACGCUCAACAAUACGCACAGAAACAAUCAAAAAGAAAGUGUUUUAUACAGGCUGUUUUAUAAGAAGGUAAUAAAAACAAUUGUAUGGCACACACAGUUGCAUAAACAGGCUCACCAUGGAAGGUGUUUGUGUGAGAGCGGGAAUAUGAAUACUUAAUUGCUUCCAUUAUUCUUAUUUUCAGUGCAAAAUACUGCAAUCAAAACUUAAUCUGCAGCCUGAUUUUUAAAUAAAAAGGUUAUAUUCCAGUUCCAUUGUUGUAAAUAUAAUAAAACACAGUCUUUCUGUAAAUGCUGUUUCAUUUCUUACUGCUUCUAAAGAGGCAUAAGAAUGAUUAAUAUCUAAAUCCCUGACAAUUUCAAAACAUUUUUCAAAGGCAGGAUCAUUAUUCCUCUUCACAGGGAAGGCAGAAGACCAAAACGUUCAAAAGGUCUUCAUUAAUGACGUGACUAGAAGUCCUGGAAGCCUUGGUGAGGUCGUUCCGUGGCUGCCAGUCCUCUUUGAACCAAGGCCUACAAGCAACACACAACUCAGGUUUAUUUUCAUUCACACAUCUCUUCUGACAAGCCCAAAGGAACGCACAAAGGAACAAUAUAUGGAAACACGACUAUGGGGACUCUAAUGAGUUGCAAAGUAUAAAACUGAAAAAAUGCCACCUAUUUUCCAGUACCUCUCAGCCAAAUUACUCAGUGAGCAGGCUCGUAUGAAUGUCAAUUCAGUCUGGUGCAUCUGGAAUGUUGUACUCUACAGCGAACAUGUUGGCUGCUGGGCUGUUGUUGUUUUAAUAUGUGCUGUUACAUUCUGCUUUAGCAGCAUCCAAACCAGAGUAAUUUUCAAAUCCUUAUACAGAAGAACUCCUGUUUUUUCCCCCUCUGACUUUUCAGGAAGAGAUAGAGAACCGUCAAAGACCUGUGACAUAAACUGAGCGAUGGGUCUGAAAAGAUUUAGGGACCGAGAUGAAAAAAUCUGGAUCUGGAUGACAAAAAACCAUCUUCAUUAAUAGUAUGUGCUUUACAGAGCGAACACAUCGCUGUGAAAUAACAUAACUGUAAUACCAUAAAGAUCAGAGUCAUUCUUGUUGCAAACAGAUGUCUCUAGGAAAGAAACGAUCUCUGAUUUCAAACUAAUGGAAAAAUAUGACUUUAAAUUUAAUGGCUGUUGCUUAGACACAGCUUAAUUUACAUACUUAAUUAAAAUAAUCUUCUAACAUAAUAGAUAUUAAGAUGUAGCACUUUUCCAGUUCAGUAGGCUCAUAAUUCCUAGCCUAGAAAUUGUCUGACUGUUGGACUUUCUGUCAGUGCUACAAACCGUCUGACAAAUUGGAAACAACAUUUUUAUCUUCACCUUUCUCAUCAUUGCGUACAGCACAAGGCUAUCCAGAAUCAAGCAGCUGCCAUUAUAUGUUCCCAGCUCAUAAUUCCACCAUCACAGUUUAAUACUUUACAUCACUAGUGACCAAAGCCAUUCACAUGAAGCAAAAAAAAACCCACAACAAAAACAACCUGAUAAGACAUGAGAAAGAGAACAUUCCCCCUGCCCCAGGGAAAAUAAUUACUUUUAACAACCAUCCGACAUUACAAUAGACCACUGCCUAAGAAACAGUGGGACAUGUAACUAACCUGGCAAAUAUUCCAGCUAUAGGCCUUCCUAGAGCCAGAAUUUGAUCUUCUCAGAAGCCAUAUGACAAGAUCAGCCUUUCAACUCACUUAUCUUCAGAGUGCCCAAGAGACCAAGAACUCCCAAACACCUCUUGUUGACCUUUCAGCAAUGUACCCUAUUCUCUUAUUAGAGACCAAAACCAGGUUGUUUGCUGGUAUUCAUCAAUCUUCAACAAUUAAAGGCAUGAGAAUAAACUGAAGAGAAACAUGUACCUAUGCAUGUGAAUGUAGAUAUAAGAAGGAAUUUUAUACAUAUAUAUAAGGAAUGAAAGUACAGAUUAUAACCAUAUAAUACAUCUAUAAGGAAUAAGUAUUAGGAUGAAUGCCUGCACAUAUUUUAAUAAUAUAUAUUAUGCGUCAACAUGCAUCUGCUGGCCAAAAAAGCUUUGAUGAUUUAAAAUACCUUGAUGCACGGAACACUUUUUCUUAAACAAGGCAAAUUACAAUUUCUAACCUUCCAGUAUAUGUAUCUCCUUAGUUCCUUCAUGAAAAGAACCAAUUACCAGUCAAAGAUGAUAAGGAUACCAUGAUCUCACUUCUCCUAGCAAACAGCUUAAUGAUGGCAUUCAAGACCAAGAUUUUUGCUUGCAAAUUAAAUGGGUAACUAGCUUUGGACUAGUUAUGCAGAAAGAUCUAGCACAUUAAUUUGAAGUUUCAGAAGCAUCAGACCACACAGUCCCUCUUAGUGUCAAAACUCAUAAAGAAAUGAAAAACCCAACGAUGCCAAGAUGAUCCAUAAUAUGCUACAAAAGUGGAACUGAGAAGACAAGUCACUCAGUCCACUGAGCUAGAUGAGUGUCUGAAGCACGCUGAACGUCAUCUGCCAGAAACAGCCAUCGGGAUCAAGGAGUCUAGCUGUGGCAGGCUGAAAUGAUUCUGGAGUUACUCAUAAGCCAACAUCUCCCAGCAAGGGUGAGUGAGCAGCCAGCAACUAGUAGCGAGGAACUUGCUGCAGAAGUGUGAUAGGAACCAGCCUCCAAAACUACUCAGAGAGGCUUGAUGAGAUGCCACCGUAUGAUUCUCUGACUGAUCCUGAAUGCUUUGGCUCUGAGGUCCUAAUGUAGAAAUUUUGCUGAUUUAUGUUUGCUGUCAUAACUGAUUUUUCAUGUUUUUCUCCUCAACUCCUUGCCAAAGGUUUCUCACUAUAGAAAUCAGGCUACAGUGAAAGUUGUGCCAGAAAAACCAUCCACUCGUCCUUUGAGCUCCUUCCCUGAGAAGGAAUUCCCCCUCUGUCCUCUCGACAUCUGCAGGACAUCCACCUCAGUCACUUAACAAUGCAAUUACUUUGGGAAGUAAUGACCCGGGGAGGUGUUACUUAGGAGCCACCUGCAGUGAUGCUGUACUUUUAUUUAGGGCCUCAGAACGGCAAGGAACAGAAUAGAGAUCCUGAUGCACUACUUUGGAUUUGGUUUGCAUUGCUGGUUCUGCAUGUGGGGCAGUAGCUAAAAUAUAACUUUUUGGAAGGGAACUUGAAGUCAAGCCAGGAUGCCUGAUUUGGCAGUGUGUGAUGCAGCAUGCUAACCACUACAUCUCCAUGCCAGGUAAUAAUAACUCCUCCUUCCUGACCUGAUCAACCUGUAACAAGAACUUCACAAAGCACAGCAAUCCAAGCAUAGACCUUAUAAACAGGCACAUGACCAUAGCUAUGGUCAAUCCCCAUUUCCAACACCUAAGGCUUUGUCUCCCUACCUCUGCUUUUAUCAUGCUUGCAUAGGUAAAGACACUUACUGAAGAAAAAAAAAAAAAAGCCAGCUUCCUCAGAGGAAAUGUUGCCCAAGAGCAGUUUACAUCAUCCACUAUCUGGAAGCUAUUCUGUAAAACAUCAUAAUAAUUGCUUUUCCUGGACUCAGACACUUCUUAGUAGCAGCUAAAGUUAACAGAUUGGAAGACUGCCUGAAGAUGAUGGAUGGGUUUUCUCAGACUGUAGAUUUCUGGUCAUUUUCCAUGGCAGCUGUAAAUUUUAAAAUAAUAUAAAAUUAAGCAGUGAUAGAGUAGAAUUCACAAAUAUUACACAGCUACUGACUUGACCAUUAAUCAUCCUAAAUCAGUGUUAAAGUGUUACAUACGAUGAGCCGGAUUCUGCCCUGAGGUGCGUACAGAAGCUUCUCAUUGAUUACAAAUGGGAAAUGGCACGUGUCUACCAACACAGAAUUAAACCAACUGCCUAUUUUGCUGGAUUUCUUUUUGUUACUAUUUAGAGGUGGAGACAGUCCUGUUUUUUUAAGAAUUCCCUUUCAUAUUAGUGAUCUGGAAGAAAAUGAUCUCUGUAGUCAAUAUCCCAACAUUAUCCCUAAUUAUUUUCAAAGUUGACGUUGCCCUCCAGAGUUCAGGCAUCGUUUGAUCUGUCUAAUGUCUACCUUUGAGGCUGCUGCAGUCAAAAAGCCAUCUGUAACUCAACAAAGAGAAGACUUUGGUCUAGGCUAAAACAACAUUUUCCCCAAGACUUUGUCUUAAUUUACCUUGUUAUUUCUUUUAUGGAAUGAUGUAUCUAAGUGUACCUCGGCUGAGUAACUACAGAGGAGCUGCCAGAGAUAUGUAUGUAAAAAAUAAUAAUAAAAAAAAUGUCACUCUUCUUCUCCAGCAAACCAAAUCAGAUUCAAAUAAAGAAGUCUUGCACUUCCCAUUUUCUGAGCAGAAUCCAAAGGUAAGAAAAACUAUAAUAGCUUUAGCAAAGUCAUGGAGGUACACAGACUUCUGCUCUAUGAGCACCCAACUCAGCUCCUUUUGCACUCACUGAAUACUUUCAUACAAAUUACAAAUCAAUUGCACUGUAUGUAGGCAUGUUUAUGUCACACAUGCAGUUAGUAUUAAUACAUAUUAGAUAAAAGACAGAGUUUUCCAGCACUACUAAGUUAGUGUUAUAUUUAACGCCUUUCAGACUCUGUGUACGAUACUCUGCAGUAAUCACACUGAAAACAACUUAUUUGGAUGCCAGCUACAGAAUACCGUUACCACCACGUUUUCUCUGGGCCUAUUUACUUCUGUCUAUCCACAGGCUUUGGUAAUAAAUACAUGUAUUUUGGGGCUCUAGGUACGUUAAACAUACUGAAUAGUCAACGCUUGUAGAAGCUAAUUUCCCUGUCACUGCAUUAUAGUUAAAUUGGUUACGCACGUCUCAUUCAAUUAUGUAACUUGAAGAAUACCAACAACAUAGGUUCCCGAUUUCAACAGUAGUUAUGCUGGCUUUAGCUCUUACAAUGGAUCAGCUUUUUGCAUGAGACACCGUACUCAUCAUGCUAUAAAUCUGGAGCCGCAAUUUAAAAUGUAGAAUUGCUUUUUUGUGUGUGUCUGCUGUUAAUGGCUUUUCUUUUUAUACUUUCUGGAUGUACAGUGUAAGAUUUUGUUCAGAUCAAGGUGAAGACUGGAAGGAAGUUCAGCAGGUUGCCCCUGAAGGAUGGGCUCCAUGGUACAGAGCCGUGUUGGAACAGUGCUCAAAGUGCUGCAGCCUGUGGGAAGCCCACGCAGGAUCAUCCCAUGGGUGGGACCUCACCCUGCAGCAAGGGCAGGGAGCAACCAUGGUGGAGAGGCAGAGACGAAGAGUUAUGGACUGCCCACAGCCCCCAUUGCCCGUAUCCCUGCACCACUCAGGGGAGGAGUAAGAAGAGAGUGGAUAGAGAAAAGGUGCUUGUAGUUUGCAUUUAGUUCUCACUGCUCUAUUCUGUUAUUAGCAGGCAAUAAAUCACCUUAAUCUCCCUUAAGUUGAGUGAUGGUAACUGAUGAGUGAUCUCCCUGUCCUUAUCUCAGCCCAUGAGCCUUUUUUUAUCCCCUGCUCUGUUGAGGAGAGAGAGGGAAAGCAGCAUGGUGGAGCUGAGAGCUGCCUGUCACAGCAGAACCACCACAAUUCUACAUGAAAAGAACUGAUACUGCAGUAGCACAGAAGGAACAAGGAAAAAGGAAGGGUUAAAUUAAUAUCCACAGAAACUGACAUAGUAUUAUGAUAUUAGCAUUGUGCAAUACCAAUAAGGCACAUAUCAAAUGGAUUAAAAACUGGCUGACAGAUCUAAAAAAAACAGGCAUCAACUGGGAAUUGAGAUUGAAUGAAUGUUCCCAAUGUUCCUCUGGGGUCUGUACAAGGCCUAAUAUUCUUUAGCAAUUUCACCAAUAGUCAUAUAAACAUAUCCCUAAGUACAGUUUGUGAAUGACAUGAGUUUGGCAGGAUGGUAUACAGUGAUGAAGACUGGGCAGUCAAACAGAAACUGAGAAUUAUUCAAAGGACAGUUCCCUGCAGUAACAAUGAAAAAAUUAAGAAGUUCCAUAUGUUUAUUUUAUCAGGGAGAAGAUGGGAAGAGGCGAGUUUUAUGUACAAGAAACUGACAGGAGAAAAUUGCAAGUGAGAAAGAACGCUUCCAUCUAGAAGGAGAACCAUAGUCUGGAAACUUAAGACAAACAACUGAAGAUCAAGAAUUGCAAGAGAUCACACUAAAAUUCAAGAGGCAAACGAAGAGAUAAUCCUCAAGGGCUGACACAGCAGAUACUCAUGGCACCUCAGUCAUAACUGUAUUUCUGCUCUGAGUUCACAGCUCUGCAGUGCACAUCGCAGUUUUAUCAGAAUGGCCUUUCCAGUAAGAAGUGGUAAUUUGAUUGCAUGAUGGGUCAUCUGAAGAAAAUAUAUCGGUUUUCGAAUACUAAUGAGAGGAAAUAUCUAGUAUGUCCAUAUUUAAUUGAAAUCAUAUGUUGCUCUUCUGCAAGAAAAGCUAUGUUCAUUGUAUUUAUGCAUGAAAACUGGCUAGCAUCAUGGAAGAACAGAUUUUCCAGGAGAGCACUGAAGCAUCAGCCCAUUGCAACAUACCACACAGGACAGAAACUCAGCAUCAAUUUAGAUCUAAACUUUCAGCACCAAUAAGACAACAACAUCCCUUCUUCUGAAUCGUGGAUAAUUCUGUCCAAAAAAGCCACUGACCUUGACCAAGUCAGUUGAAACUUUACUGAGAUAAAAUCUCAACUUUGUGCAAUACAGUAGACAAUGUCCAAGUCAUCCAUGGGUCAUCAGUAGAGUGAUCAAUGCAGCAUGUAAUCUAGUCAAAUCUACAUAAACAGAGAUGUAGCCAGACAUCUGCAGAGGUGUAGCCAUCACCAUACUCUCCAAAUAACUGAGUAAACAGUAUGACAGAGCUAGUUCAGUUGAUACACAGCUUCCAUCUCUGAAGUCCAACACUGUAGAUACAGAGGCUACUUUACAAGUAAAAUGCAUCUUUUCAAUGGAAAUUGUUUGUAUUGCUGACCUCUUUGAGACAAGAAAUGAAAUUUCACCAGUCAUAAAGGAAUGGGCCUCGAGGAGAGCACUGUGCCAGCACAGCCUGGAUCUGCAGGCUUCCUGCUGCCCUCCUGCUGCUUCCUGCUGCUGUUCAUGGCCCUUGGCUUGCUGCUGUGCAAGUUCUCCUCAGCUAUUUCAAGUUUUUUUUUUUUUUUUUUAGAGAGCAUGAGAAAGAAGGAGAAUAGUGUAGGUUUCACACACCGGUCCUGAUCAGAUGGGUGCAAAGGGAAUACUCCUGUUCCACACAAUGCAGCAGAGACCCAUCUUUUCUCGUGCUGUUGAAGCAUAAACAGAGGUGAUUAGAGUGGGAGCAGGGCUUCUCACUUUCUUAUUCAGAUUCUAAUACAGACAGAUUUUGAUCUUUAGGGGGUGAAAUAAUGAAGAAGAUAACAACAGUAAUUAUGGGUACAGACAGCAAUGCUGAACCAUGAACAUCUCCAUUUUAACACAUAAAUAUUCAGUCGGCUAUCAGAGAAGAAGAGCACAGGUCACAGACCCUUUAGCUUCAUCCCCCUCCUCCACAGCCAAAAGAACACACAAGAAAUAUAUUUAUUAACUGAUAAAUACUGUCUUUUCAAAUUGACAUCAUAGGAAUUUGGAGUGUCAGGCUGCUCAUUUGUAUCUGAGAAUUUAUAUAAUAUUGGAAACAAAGAGAAUAUUUGAGCUAUGAAAGAAUCUACAAAACCAGCCAGAACAGCAGAGACUGUAUUUUAAAACAGGACAAUAGAGAUUGUGACACAUCUCAAUACUCUGCAAUACUUUGAAAAGUGUAGCUUGUACCUACAAAACAAUUUAUUAAUGAUUUGAUUCUAUGUAUGACUUUUUAAGAAUAAAUUAGAAAUACCCAACCACUAUAGGUUGAGUGGCCUCUUGGCCAACCUCCAAAAGCCAGACCAACUAAUCCAGUCAAUAUCCAUACUUUGCUGCCAUGUCCUUCACUGAUGUCCUCAGUCACAAGAAGGUGAUGAAUUGCAAACUGACGAACUGGUGAAAGGUGGGCAGAAGGUUGGCCUUAGUAUUGUUUUUACUCAGGGUUCUAUGGCCUCUACACCACUGUUAGAUAGGAAUCGCAUCCAUUCUGAUUCAGGCUUGCCUGUUCACACAAUUGGAACAAUCCCGUGCUAAAAGUAUGAGUGAAUCUCAGCCUUGAGACAGGCACUGCUUAACCUCCUCAUCUAUUCCCCAGAUGAGCAUCUUUAGAAGGAAGCACUUGCAUUUUGCAUUUCUAAUGGAUCAUGUCAGAGGUGAUAUCAUGUGAAUUCCUCCAUAAAAGAAGACGUAAUCCCAACAAAAAGCCUACAAGCGACAGAAGGUAUUUGGAGUAGAUAUUUAUGGAGUAAACACAGUUAUUAUUUGUUGACAAAUCUAAUGCACCAGAACUUGGCUUUGGAGAUAUGAAAUGAGACUCUAGUAUUUUCUUGAGUAUGAGUAGUGUCAUUCAUCAUUCAUUCUUGAUAGUGAAAACAUAUCUGUGUUUCAGAUGUAUGCAGGAAAGGAGCAGCCUUGCUUGGGGAAGUCAAAAACAUGUCCAGGCUAUUUAAUACAUUAAAAGGUCACCUGCAGUGAAAUUUGCUGUACACGCUCUAAGAGAAAGCAGAGAAUGUUCAGGGAAAUAAUACAGGGUAGUCAAAGAUUACCACUGGGGCUGCAUGGAAGAAGCCAAAAAUCUGUUAUUUUCUGAUCAAAAUGAAUCAGUUGAACGCCAAACUCACGGAAAGUGAGGAGCCAGUUCUUCCAAGAGAGGUUGAAAGCAGGGAGGUGGGGCUGCUUGUAUAGUCUUGCUUGGUAUAACUUUAUUUUUCACAAAAAAAGUGGGGGAAUAACAAUAUCCCAAAACUCUUCCAAACAGUUAUUAUUUUUUCUCACUUGGAUUACAACACACACAAACAUAAGCAAGCCUUUUGGUUAUGCAGGUCUACAGUUCUGCCUAGUCUACCUGUUUGGAGCUGGGAUGGAGCCGUCCCACUCUGCAUCUUGAAAAACUCUCCCCUUGAAAACGUACUUGGGUUGAUGCCUUCAAGUGAGAUUUGAAACCUGCCUGUGCUGUUUUGCUUUUUUUCUCCUCACUCUUGUUGUCAGACUCAUCAUGCUGAGUCAUAUCUGCAGCUAGAGCAUAAUGAUUAUCCUGAAAUGUCAGCAGCUGCUCUUUUCACCCCCAUAUGGUGCCAGAUUUAGGAUGAGGUUUCCCUAAUGCAUAAACAAUGAUGAUAAUUGCAGUUUUCAACAAUCAAGGUAUCACAGAGUUGUUAUUCUAUUGUAAAAAAAAAAAAAAUAAUAAUGCAUUUCCACAGCUGUAAAGAAGGGAUGGGUCACACUGACCCAUAUGCUUUUUUGUAGUUCACCCUGAAGAAAGUCUGUGACAUAAGUGAAUCCCUGUCAGCAUCGUUGUUGGCUAUCAGGUGUUGUCUGACAGGAGAAACAGCUAAAAGCUUUGUCAUUUAAUAUCUUCCUAAAUGUGUGAGAAUCAUCUGCCUAAUUCCAGAGAUGACUGAUAGGAAGAAACCUGGCUUUAACUCCUAUACUCUUAACUUCAGUGUAAUUUCCUUGCGGCCCUCAGACAGUUCUGUCUUCUCACAUAGUGCUCCUACAAGUUACCUUCUCUCUUUCAAGUCAACUAAAAAUAGCUGAGGCAUGAGAGAAAUAGUAAAUAAAUAAGCAAACAAACAAACUGGCAGAAGUUGGCAAAAGUGAUGAAAACACAAGGCUCCAUUUCCUCUUUCAUUAAAAGAUACGCACUGAAUGUAUCUCCACUAUCCAGCAACUGUGGAGAGAGAUGACUGUGGAACUGUUGUCAGUGAGAGAGGAAUCCAGUCCCAGCACCUCCAUUCCAUAUUUUAGUGUCACGUAGAGCAAUAGUGAAAUAAAUGAAAGAUACGCAAGUAGAAAAGCCUGCAAGGGUAAAACCAGGGUGAAUAUGUUGUAUUAUUGUUGGGGACGGGGAGGAGAAUCAUUGAAGCUAAUGGAAGUAACCACCACACUUCAUUUGAGUUAACAGUCAGGGAAGAUCUCUGAUGAGGCACUACGGGUUUCUAAGACAAGGCGAAAGUACACCCUAAAUCUUGAAUAAUGUGGUACUGAGAUGGUACUGCUGGUUACUGUGUUCUGUAAGGAUGUAUUUGUGUGUAUGCAUGUACAAGAGAACAAGGCAGUUGAAACAUUAAACACAGAAGCUAAAAGGAGAGUAGCUAGACAUAAACGCUUAAAGGCAGAGCUUAUCAGAGAUACUGGAUGAAAAAGAUGUGGUACUAUAAGCAAAGAUACCAUCUUUGGUGGUUUGAUUACAUUUGUGGUCAGAAAAACAGGACUUCUCAUGUUCUUUGUAGAUAGGUAGGGCUGCCUGCAGGAAAUGCCUGAUUCUAUUGAUGGCAUAGCUUCCUAACCUGAACAAAAUCUGUGGCCAUUUGUGUCAAAGGAAGGAACAUUACAGGUAGUGAAACAGGCAAAAGGAGGACUGUAGGCAAACCUAUGCUGUCCGGAGAAAGCGAAGCAUAUUGCAGUGAGUUUAAUUUCAUUGUAAUUAAUUAAAUUCACUAUUUUGUAAUGAACCAAAAGUGACAUGUUCAGAAAUUAUUGCAAGUGCACAAUGCUUUCAGAUAGCAACACAACACUCGCAAUUUUUCAGUAAAGGAAACUCUUCUGAAGCUUAAGCCAACCCUCCAAAAUGAGCUUGAGAAGAUGCCAGUGCUUUGCAGGACAAGAGGUUCAGGACUGGUGAGCUCAGAGAUGUGAGCUCCAGAGCAGUGUCCUGUGAGUACUGCCUCUGCACUCACAGUGCAGAUACUUAGGCCUUGUCCUUACCUGAGCCCUAAUUAGGUGCCAAAGGUCCCAUCCUCUCCAUCCUCUGAAACAAUCGAUUAAACUGGAUUUUACAUACCCAGUGGUGCACAAAAUAGCAGUGGGCCUAUUUUGCUGGUUUCGACCCUUCCUGGACGAGUUCUUUGAUGAAGCCCUCAGAUGAGGUGAAAACUGUCUGGACACGUGACAGCUGGCAUGACCUCUGCAGUAACCUGAAGGGAACACGUUAUACUGCUCAUGUAGCACCAUGCAGCACACGCUGCCUUCCUGGGUAGGCCCUCAUUUGGAUCUGUAGUGAUAAAACCAAAGAGCCUUUCCAUAGCUGAAACCGAAUUGCAAGACUGUUCUGACUGGAAGAUAUCCUGAUCCUUCAGAACCUAGGCACAGAAGAAAAUCUGUAGGAUGCCAAACACAGAGUCACAAUUGGAUUUCUUUCAUAUUUUCACUCUACCUACAUAGCUGUUCUGUAGGUAUUUGUUUUCAUUCACUUGGAUAAGAGUCAUCUGCUUAGACCUAGCUGUCAAAGUGUCAGGCAUCUAGGAUAACUCAGUUUCCCAGGCUUCCUUUACAGUUAUGGAGGUAGACAUUGACUUGCUACAUGAGCCAGCAGUGUGCUCUUGCAGCCUGAAAGGCUAACAGCAUCCUGAGCAACAUCAAAAGGGAGAUAGUCAGCAGGGCAAGGAAGGUGAUUGUUCCCCCCUACUCUGCCCUUGUAAGACCCCAUCUGGAGUACUGCCCCCAGCACAAGAAAGAUGUGAAGCUGUUGGAGUGGAUCCAGAGGAAGGCCAUGGAGAUGGUCAGAGGGCUGAAGCACCGCUCCUAUGAAGAAAGGCUGAGGGAUCUGGACUUGUACAGCCCAGAGAAGACUUCGGGGAGACCUCAUUGCAGAGUUGCAAUAUGUGAGAGGGACUUAUAAACAGGAGGGAGACCCAGCUUUCACCUGGGUAGAUAGUGAUAGAACAGAGGGGAAUGACUUUAAACUAAAACAAGAGAUUUGCAUUUAAUAUUAGGAGGAAAUUUUUCACUCAGUGGGUGUUGAGGCACUGGCACAGGCUGCGCAGAGAAGUUGUAGAUGUUCCAUCUCUGGAGGCAUUCGAGGCCAGGUUGGAUGGGGCUCUGGACAGCCUCAUCUUGCAGGUGGCAGCCCUGCCCAUGGCAAGGGGGUUGGAACUAGGCAGUCUUUAAGGUCCCUUCCAACUGAAGCCAUUCUGUGCUUCCAUGACUCUAUGAUUCUGUGAUACUGUGUUCACUUCCAGAAAAAAAAGUCACUACAUUCUAGCAGAUAAAUCCAAGUUAGGUGUCUCUGAAAAAUAAUACAGUCCAUAUUUCUUCUUCCAUUGACUGCAGUGGGAGCUUAGACAGCCAGUCUGUCUAAACACACUCCUGUGGGACAGUAGAAAUCAAGUGACAAAAAUUGCAGUUCUGAUGUAUUGAGACUUGGUGCACUGUACCUGAAGGGCGCUUGUGGUAUCAUAGGCAUAACUUUUCUUUGCCCUUCUGCCACCUUUUGCUUUUGCAUUUGCAUCUGUGUUACCACUGUCAGCGUGGAGCGUCAUUAGUUUGGAUGCUGUUUGUGUAACCUUCCUUGGGUGUGUCAGAAAAGAUGUUGACAAAGGGAGCAAGACUAUGGAACCAAAACAUCUUACUAAGAACUGUCUGCGGAAAGAUACCCACUGGACAAGUCACUGUGGUGUCUCAUCUGGCAAGCAAACCUUCUGUGGCUUCUUUUCAUGAAGGAACACUACUUGUCAUUCAGUAAUCCUCCAUCACAAAAAAUAAAACUGAGAGCUCAUGUCAGAAAGGCAUGGCUUACUCAGGGGGUUAGAGUUGAGCAACACAGUUGUCUGAAAGAGGAGUAGUAGGAAACCAGAGCAUUUUGGUCUGUCUGUCAGUCUGUAAGGGGUAAUGCAAGGUUGUAUUAUUGUUCCUCCAGCAUAAUGUAUAAGGAUGAUUUGUAACCAGGGAGAAUCUAGGGUAAAUAGCUCUUGCUAGAGCACUUUGCCUUCAGAUAUCUUAAGAGGUAAUCUGUGGCGGGUAUGCUUGCUGUAAAUCAGAGGCUAUGUCUUUGCAUUUGGAAGUCACUAUUAUUAUGUUGAAGGGUGUGUACUUACAUAGUUCAAGUACGGCAUUUGGAAAGAAGCAAUUUCACCUCAGAGUGGAAGUUUCCCUGGGGCACAAAUCCUCAACAGUGAAAUUCUGUACGUGUACUUUGACAUACGCAUGCCAGUGGGCAUGUGCCAAAUUAUGCCUUUGAAGCCAUGGAAGCCUGGCUGUGGGAACCUAGAACCUCGAAGAGUCUCUCAAGAGAGAGGAAACAGAGCCAGCUGGACUCAUUUUCUAUAGACAGAAAUUUAAUUGCUAGCUAGUAGCUACUACAUCAGAAAAGCAAUCAGUUCAGGGGCCUGGAACAUGCUGGCGUGAAGCUCUUGUUGGAGGAGUCAGGUGGCAGCCUCACUGUGACCCAUCCGGAUCCCACUCUUUGCACUUUGUUUUUAUCUCCAAUAUUUACUGUCAUGGUAAAGUGUGAUCACAGUUCUAAGAACCAACACAUAGCUGUUAUUAGCCAGCACCUAAGAACAAACUGCAAAUACUCUGCUGUUGAGUGCAGGCCGGCUGAGCAAAGAACAACUUGCCUAAAGAUAAUGUCUAUCAGUUCAGCUUACAUACAGACAAGAAAUUAAAUCUUUGUAGUAAAAUUAAAGUACAGCUUCUUCUGCAAUAAGUGGCUUCUUUUCCCUGACCAGCGGUGGCUGGGCUCUGUCUUCCUCAUUCUCUGGGGCCUUGCAGCCCCUGGGAGGCUGUCUCCUCUUUGUGGUAACAGAUACCUGUCCUCUCCAUCAGCUCUCUUUUUUCACUUCAUCCUUCUCACAAAUCCAACAUCUUCUUUAACUCACAGAAGCCUUACAUGUGUUAUUUUGUCUGCCCACCGAAAGAAAUUAAAAAAUUGGACUAAAACAUUGCCCUAAAAACAGGAAUUGUGUAUAGAGUGUAAUAAUAGCUUGAUGUUACGGUACUAUUAAGAUAAUGUUUCUGUAGCAAAGUCAUUACUUUAUAAAAAUAGCACUUAUGACAGUAAUAAAAAGUCCUACUGAGGGAAAUUAACCUAUGAAAGGGGACUCACGAGGGGCUGGAUUAUACCUUUAUCACUACUCUGAGGUCAGAGCUAAUUGGCAUACAGCAAAGCUUAUGAACUCAGAGUUGAUUGCUGCCUUCUGCUUUUCUCUGCUGACAGAUGAGCACACCGCUCCCUCUAUUACUCCUGUGAUUUAUUUUUACUUGUAGGCAGAUAAGAUCAGCGCAUCGUAAUGUUGGACUCUGUACCAACAUGGAGCAAGAGCACCUCCACUACAUGGCUUACCAUCUGGUCUGAAAAUGGAGGUGGGUGUGAAUAAAGGAAACAUUUCUUCCUCUCCUUUUACAUGGGGAACAAAAGUUCUGAUCCACGGAGAUACGUAGGUGCUUUGCUGAUUUGGACCUAAUGGGUCAGACUCACAAUCAUUUUAAUGUAUCUUCAGGCAACAACUGAGCUGCUGCAUACUGCACAUCCUCUUACUGCACAGUGCAGACAAGGCAACCAGACCUCUUUCAACACAGGCUAAACUAGCACUGCUGUUCUAUGCCCAACAUUUUUUUCCCUCCCAGAAUAACAGCUCCUGCAGAGAGACCUACACUGGGGAACUGGUUAAGGUUAAACACAAUCCAGCAAAAAAAGCAAAACCAAAAAGACCUUCCACAUUUUAAACCCGAUUAUUUCUCCUAUCAGGAAUGCAAUCUCAUGACAGCAAAGCUGGUUGUACUGGCUUAAUUUGCUGGUAUAUCUUGGAUUUGGAUCACAUCAGCCUGUGUGUGCCCUGGGUAAGAGUGCACACCAGGACAGUCACUGCCGUUCAACUGAGACACAAUGGCUUGUUAAAUUGUCAUAAACUGAUCAUAAGUCUGAGUCCCAAAUGGCUUACCCGAGGUCACCCAGCAGUUUGAGACACACCCAGCGACUGAACAACAUCUCCGGAGUCCUCCAGCCUAGCGUCAAAUACAAUGGCACUUUUCCUCUCUAAUUGCAACCAAUUGUCACUGUCUUCUGGUGGGUAUAAGCAGGAGAAAACGGAUAUGGGAAUGAGCUGAGACUGUCCAGUCAGCCCUUCCAGCUUCAGCUGAAGCAUUCUACCAGGGCUUCAUCAGGAAGAC
ensembl:lncRNA